CGGAGGAAAAGAAACUAACAAGGAUUCCCCUAGUAGCGGCGAGCGAAGCGGGAAAAGCCCAAAAUGAAAAGCCUGCUUGCAGGCGUUGUAUUUGAGCAGCCUUGGGGCGUCAGUGUAGGUAAGUCGCAUGGAAAUGCGUACCGUGGAGGGUGAGAGUCCCGUCCAACCUAUGCAGGACGUUCCGCACAAGGCUGUUUCAGUCGAGUCGGGUAGCUUGGGAAUGCUGCUCUAAUUGGUGGUAAAUCUCAUCAAAGGCUAAAUAACGGUGGGAGACCGAUAGUAAACAAGUACCGUGAGGGAAAGAUGACAAGCACUUUGAAAAGAGGGUGAAAAGAACCUGAAACCGUUACGGGGGAAGCGGAUUGCGUUGGAUUGAUGGGUAUUUGUGUGUUCAGCCAUGAACUAUGUUCUAGGUGCAUUGAUGCAAAUACUUAUCCGCCGUGGGUUUUUGGCAACCGAUUUUGGGUUGCUAGAGGCUGAGGGCUCCCCUUAUAGGGUAAUGAGGACGGCGGAGUGACGACGCGAUACGACCCGUCUUGAAACACGGACCAAGGAGUCUAGCGCAGGUGCGAGUCGGAGGGUUUUCAAACCUGUGGGCGAAGUGAAAGCGAGUUUUGAUUCUAAAACUAGCAGUUUGAGGCGGCAUAGAAUCGUUGAUUCUAGGUCCGACCUGGAGCAGUUGCGCUGGGACCCGAAAGAUGGUGAACUAUGCCGGAGUAGGGCAAAGCCAGAAGAAAUUCUGGUGGAGGCUCGUAGCGGUGCUGACGUGCAAAUCGCUCGUCAAACUUGGGUAUAGGGGCGAAAGACUAAUCGAACCAUCUAGUAGCUGGUUCCCUCCGAAGUUUCUCUCAGGAUAGCGGGCCGACAUGAGUUGUUUUGUGCGGUAAAGCGAAUGAUUAGCGCACUCGGGGACUAAAAGUCUUCGGGCGAUUCUCAAACUUUCAAUGCGCAAGGGUACCGGUGCUUAAUUGAGCGGUACCGAUAAAAACGUCGGCCCUGUGGGCCACUUUUGGUAAGCAGAACUGGCGAUACGGGAUGAACCGUAAGCAUGGUUAAGGCGCCAAAUUGCCCGCUUAUAGAUCCCACAAAAGGUGUUGAUUCAUCGAGACAGCAGGACGGUGGCCAUGGAAGUCGGAAUCCGCUAAGGAGUGUGUAAAAACUCACCUGCCGAAUGAAUUAGCCCUGAAAAUGGAUGGCGCUGAAGCGGGUAGCCGACACCAUGCCGUCUGGGCAAUUUUAAAAAUAAAACUGAUUUCAGAUGAGUAGGAGGGCGUGGUGGCCGUGUCGAAGCUUGCGUGCAGACGCAUGUGGAACGGCCACUAGUGCAGAUCUUGGUGGUAGUAGCAAAUAUUCAAGCGAGAUCCUUGAAGGGCGAAGCGGGGAAGGGUUCCACGCGAACAUUGAUUGGGCGUGGGUGAGUCGUUCCUAAGCCGAGUGGCGAUUGCUAAGUAGCGGCGAAAGGGAAGCGGGUUGACAUUCCCGCACACGGAUGUGGAGGCGGUGACGCUUUUAUUGCGGCGAACACGCUGGCGGUGGCGCUGGGCAGAGUUUUCUUUUCUGUUUGACCGCUUUAUGCGCGCGGUGUGGAAUCCGCUUGUCGGGAGAAACACGCGCGUACGGGCAGAGCGCCGGGCUUUUUCCGGCGUCCAGCUCGCCACCGACGGCCCUUGAAACUUUGCCUGCUGAUUUAAAAUCCACGCCGUGGCGUACCGAUCACCGCAUCAGGUCCCCAAGGUGAACAGCCUCUGCUCCAUAUGAACAAUGCAGGUAAGGGAAGUCGGCAAAUUGGACCCGUAACUUUGGGAAAAGGGUUGGCUCUAGUGCUGCGUGGGAGUGGUUGUCUGGUUUCGUCGUUGAUUAGGGUGGCUCCCAGAGGUGCUUGGGUUUGGUCUCACGACCUGCCCUUGUGCUUCAGGAGCUCCUUGGUUACGGCGCGCUAGACGACGCCCACAGCAUGCAGCAAACUAGAACUGCAACGGGCAAAGGGAAUCCGACUGUUUAAUUAAAACAAAGCAUUGCGAAGGCCGUGGCCGGUGAUGACGCAAU
rnacentral:rRNA from 1 species